UACGGAGGGUGCGAGCGUUGUCCGGAAUCACUGGGCGUAAAGGGCGCGUAGGCGGCGCGGAAAGUCAACGGUGAAAGCUUGGGGCUCAACCCCGAGUCGGCCGUCGAUACUUCCGUGCUCGAGCACUGUAGAGGCAGGUGGAAUUCCGGGUGUAGCGGUGGAAUGCGUAGAGAUCCGGAAGAACAUCGGUGGCGAAGGCGGCCUGCUGGGCAGUAGCUGACGCUGAUGCGCGACAGCGUGGGGAGCAAACAGG
rnacentral:rRNA from 1 species